rnacentral:rRNA from 1 species
UACGUAGGGUGCGAGCGUUAAUCGGAAUUACUGGGCGUAAAGCGUGCGCAGGCGGUUCGUUGUGUCGGCGGUGAAAGCCCCGGGCUCAACCUGGGAACUGCAUUUGUGACUGCAUGGCUGGAGUGCGGCAGAGGGGGAUGGAAUUCCGCGUGUAGCAGUGAAAUGCGUAGAGAUGUGGAGGAACACCGAUGGCGAAGGCAGCCCCCUGGGUCAAGAUUGACGCUCAUGCACGAAAGCGUGGGGAGCAAACAGG